AUAUUAGAUUUAUUAUAUAUUAAUAUAAAGUAGAAUAAAGCCCUAAGGGGCGACUUCGUUAACGCUAAAUCGUAUACGAUCCUUUUCGAGACCUCGCAGAAAAUUUCUCAAGAAAGUUUAACAGCAUUCUAAAAUGGGGUUACUUUGUUUAUGAUU
rnacentral:sRNA from 12 species